AAACAUUCAUCGUAUUUUGUAGAAACUAUGGAUUGGAAUGAAUCUGUAACUUUAUAUCCUAAUAUUGUCAUGCAUGCCCAAAAGUCAAAAUGUAUGAAUUAUUAUUUAUACUCACAUAGACAAUUGUAUUCAGUGAUGGCUAAUUUAGAUGAGGAAUCUUUAGGAUUUCUGAGUUUUGAAAAAAAAAAGGAAAUUUUUAUAAAUCAAGUUAGUGAUGGACUAAGCUUAAUUGUGGUGAAAUUUAUUCUGUAAGUACUCUCUUUAGUUGUCAAGUUGGAGUGGCAAAUGGUAGUUUUCGUUAUAAUAUAUUUUAAAACAUGGAUAAUUUUGAUUUUUAGAGAUGGGUUGUAUCUCGAAUCUUGAGAAAAGUAGCCUUAAUGUCGUGUCUUGAUUAAAAGUAUGUGAUAAUUAUUAAUGAAUGUCUUUUUAACUUAUCAGAAUGCAGAUCUUACCAAUGCCAAUCUAGAGGGAGCCGUUUUGGAAGGAGCUAACUUGAAGGGGGCAAAACUGAACAACGCCAACUUGAAGGGUGCAAACCUUCAACGAGCUUAUCUUAGUCAUCUUAAUCUUCGAUAUACGCACUUGGAAGGUGCGAGGCUUGAUGGUGCCAAUACUGUUGGAGUAAUCAGAUAAUAUUUGUGCCGGAAAUUAAAAAAAUUGGAAUUUGUAAUAUGGCUAUAAAAUGUCAGUACUAGAUGACUGAACUUGGGAAUUUGAAAGUUAUCUCGUGUAUGAGAGCGUAAGUAUAAGUGCUUCUGGUAAAGUGAUAUUUUAGUUGGGUCUGCUGAUCUCCAACAAUAACAUGCGGCUGAUAUUGUGAGAUAAAGUUGUUUAUGUUGUUCUUGUUCAUAUUUUGUGUUGAUUCUGGUUUUUUGGCUUUUCUUAUGUACCAAGAAUAUUACUAAUUUGUUAUGUGAACUAUGUUGUGUACAGCGCAUGGCUGAUAAGAAGUUCGUAUUUAUGAAUCAUGAUUGUCUUGUAU